rnacentral:rRNA from 1 species
AACGAACGCUGGCGGCAUGCCUAACACAUGCAAGUCGAACGAGACCUUCGGGUUUAGUGGCGCAUGGGUGCGUAACCCGUGGGAUCCUGCCCUUAGGUUUGGCUUAACUUCCCGGAUGGCGUCCUAAUACCGGCUCUUGUCCUCCAUCCAACGGUUUAUCGCCUUUGGGUGGGCUAGCGUUGUCAUAGUUUGUUGUUAGGGUAAAAGCCUAUCACUGCGUCGUUCCAUAGCUGGUUUGAGAGGAUGAUCAGCGACACUGGUCCUGAGACACGGCCCAGAAUCCUACGGGAGGGAGCAGUGGGGGAUAUAGGACAAUGGGGGAAAGCCUGAUCCAGCAAGGACGCGUGAGUGAUGAAGGCCGGAGGGUAGUAAAGCACGUUUACCCGGGAUGAUAAUGACGGUACCGGGAGAAUAAGCACCGGCUAACUCCGUG